UACGGAGAGUGCAAACGUUGUUCGGAUUCACUGGGCGUAAAGGGCACGUAGGCGGCUCGGCAAAUCGGUCGUGGAAUCUCGACGCUUACCGUCGAAACGGCGGCCGAAAAUACCGGGCUCGAGGGCGUGAGGGGUCACUGGAACUCCUGGUGAAGCGGUGAAAUGCGUAGAGAUCGGCAGGAACACCCAGGGGGAAACCAGCGGACUGGGCAUCGGCUGACGCUCAGGUGCGACAGCGUGGGGAGCAAACAGG
rnacentral:rRNA from 1 species